rnacentral:sRNA from 1 species
AAAAAUAAAAUAAAAAAAUAAGAAAAACAUAAAUAUUCUGUAUAUGGACCCUACAAAAACGCUGGAUUUAAUUUAGUGGUUAUAUUUACUCAACAUGUGAACCCCACUAAAAAAUAUUUUGUCUUUUUGCGGCAGAAAAUACUCAUAGUUGUACUGUUGUACCAUCGUGUUCAUAGUUGAACUUUUCACAGUUUUCAUAAUUUACAGUUGAACUAGACGGUAAAUAAUUAAUUAUAAGUUGAACUCACACUUUGUCUCUAUUAUUUUGCAUUUCCAAAGUUUUCAUAAUAUUACAUCGGUAAAAGCUUAGUUUUCACCUAUUUUACUUCAUAUAAGGUGAUCAUAUACUAAAUGUUCCUUGUAUUAGAAGGGGUGUAUUAUAUGAAAACAACAUUGUUUUUUAGAAAAUAUUAAAUUUUAUUGCAUUGAUAUAAAAUU